GUCGUAUCGGUUAGAUUGGGAUACUCAUCAAAUAAACUGAAAACAGAGAAAACUUCUCUUAUCAAUGGCGGGCCACAAUCCUCUUUAGGGAGGACAGCUACAAUGCCGGUGGAUUACAACGAUAGGGAGCUCUCAAAUCUUAUCUAAUAGGAGUUUUCAUCACAUCACCGAUACGAUCCU
rnacentral:sRNA from 1 species